UGCAGCUGCUGUCCUGCGGGAAAGCAACCUAUUUGAGAUGGCAGGUCAUAUGAUCGGCCAUUCUUUCCUGCAUGGUGGGUCCAGCUUCUCUGGACUCAGUUUGCCUGUGGUGACCCUAUUGACUGGUGAGAGCAUCGACACUGCAGCAUCAGCUCUGACGCUGGAGGACUGUCCUGAUAUUGACCAUCGUGAAACAGUUGGUUUGCUGAAGAAUGCUGAACUUACUGCAGAAGAACACACCAAAGUGACUGAUCUUUGCCUGUCCUGGGAUCUUCCAUUUCCAAACUCCACCAAUCGUGUCUGGCUGUUCCAGGAAUUGCUUUCACAUGCAGUACUUCACCGUGUUAAACAGCCAAUUAAACAAAUACGGAAAGGCCUUAAACAAACAGGAAUCUGGCCACUUCUUUCAGAUAGGCCAGAUGUCCACCCCUUAAUUUUCCCAAGGGAGUCAACUGAGGAGCUUAACCCACAGGUAAACAGGAUUCACACUACAUGAUUUUUAGCCCGAUUUGCUGCUCGGCGACUGUCAGGCUGUGAUCGGGAGUAAAUCAGUGAUUGAUCGGCGGUCGCCAGUCAUUAUGUGUGAACUACUCAACUCAUCAAAACGGUCCCCCGACAACAGCCAGAUAUCUAGCAUGAGAAAUAUCUGUAGAACUUGGCCGACUCGACAUCCAGCCAAUUUUAGCCAUUAAUGAUUUUAUUUUUGCAAAGACUGUGUGUAGUUUUGUUUGGUGUCACAGGGGUGUGUACAUCUAAAAUGAAUGGUUUAUUUUAGUCAUGUUAAAGUUGUGUUACUUACGUGACAUAAAUAGAUUGUUCAUUCAUAAAAAGAUCACUACAAUUUUGAGAUCACUUUGCAACAUUUAAUAAAAGUUUCAAUCCUUACA
ensembl:lncRNA